UACGUAGGGUCCAAGCGUUAAUCGGAAUUACUGGGCGUAAAGCGUGCGCAGGCGGUUCUGAAAGUCAGCUGUGAAAGCCCCGGGCUUAACCUGGGAAUGGCGGUUGAAACUACAGGACUAGAAUCUGGCAGAGGGGGGUGGAAUUCCACGUGUAGCAGUGAAAUGCGUAGAGAUGUGGAGGAACACCGAUGGCGAAGGCAGCCCCCUGGGCUGAGAUUGACGCUCAGGCACGAAAGCAUGGGGAGCGAACAGG
rnacentral:rRNA from 1 species